CUGCUCGCCCCGCCCCCCGCACGUCGCGCGCAGGCUCCGCCCUCCCGCUACGGGUGACCUGCCAGCCAUGGUGAACCUGGGCCUGUCCCGGGUGGACGUCGCCGUGGCCGCCAAGCACCCGGGGCUGGGGGAGUACGCCGCGUGCCAGUCGAAGGCCUUCGUGAAGGGCAUUUUCAGCUUUGUCGCAGGUAGGCUGGGUCCAGACGUCCUGGGGUCCGGACAGACCUCACCUUCCCGUCUCACCCGAGUGCCCAGCAGGUGCCGUCCGGUCCCCGUCCUCGGAGGCUGGGAGCCUGACCGCUGCUGUGGGCGCCCAGGCGGUGGACAGGCUGGCCGAUGGGGACCUUGGCUCUGGCAGGCACCGGCGCCGCCUUCGGCCUGCAGAUGUUCGUCCGGAGGAAGUUCCCGUACCCCUUCCAGUGGCACGUGCUCGUGGCCGUGGUUACAGGCUCGGUGGCCAGCUACUGGGUGACCCGAGUGGAGUCGCACAGAUGCAGCAACCUCUGGCUCUUCCUGGAGACGGGGCAGCUCCCCGAAGACAGGGGCGCAGAUCGGCACAGCUAGGAGAGCUCCAGCUGGGGCGCAGAAGACUUGGGGCCGAAGACUUCUAGAACAUAGCCCUCAGGGCCUCGUCACCUCAGGCUUGCCCUGCCCCCUUACACAGGCCCUCCUCACACCCUAAGGUGACCCAGCGGUGUCCCCUGCGGACAGUCAUGGGAGGUCUGCCAACCCUGUGCAAACCUUUGCUACUGCCCAGGUCACACCAGAGGGGCUGUCCCUGCAGUGGUUGGCCUCCCAGAGGGCAGUGAGAAACAUGGUGGACGCUGAGAGCUGGAGAGCAUCAGAGAGGCCCUGGGCACUUGGUGGAAGGGACUUCUGCAGGCCCUGGUGCUCUGACACUCCCUGUCUGGCCCUGGCGUCCCCCACAGUCCGAGGGGACAGCUGCUGCAGGGGCAUGCUGCACAAAUAAAUGCUUUGCCUUUUCCCA